rnacentral:rRNA from 1 species
GUGCCAGCAGCCGCGGUAAUUCCAGCUCCAAUAGCGUAUAUUAAAGUUGUUGUGGUUAAAAAGCUCGUAGUUGAACCUUGGGCCUGGCUGGCCGGUCCGCCUCACCGCGUGCACUGGUCCGGCCGGGCCUUUCCCUCUGUGGAACCCCAUACCCUUCACUGGGCGAGGAGGGGAAACAGGACAUUUACUUUGAAAAAAUUAGAGUGCUCCAGGCAGGCCUAUGCUCGAAUACAUUAGCAUGGAAUAAUAAAAUAGGACGCGCGGUUCUAUUUUGUUGGUUUAUAGGACCGCCGUAAUGAUUAAUAGGGACAGUCGGGGGCAUCAGUAUUCAACUGUCAGAGGUGAAAUUCUUGGAUCAGUUGAAGACUAACUACUGCGAAAGCAUUUGCCAAGGAUGUUUUCAUUAAUCAGGAACGAAAGUUAGGGGAUCGAAGACGAUCAGAUACCGUCGUAGUCUUAACCAUAAACUAUGCCGACUAGGGAUCGGACGGUGUUAUUCAUGACCCGUUCGGCACCUUACGAGAAAUCAAAGUGCUUGGGCUCCAGGGGGAGUAUGGUCGCAAGGCUGAAACUUAAAGAAAUUGACGGAAGGGCACCACCAGGGGUGGAGCCUGCGCUUUAAUUUGACUCAACACGGGGAAACUCACCAGGUCCAGACACAAUAAGGAUUGACAGAUUGAGAGCUCUUUCUUGAUUUUGUGGGUGGGGUGCAUGGCCGUUCUUAGUGGGGGGUGACUUGUCUGCUUAAUUGCGAAUAACGAACGAGACUUAACCUGCUAAAUAGCCCGCAUUGCUUCCGGGCAGUUGCGCU